UUUAAAUGACCUGUACUCGAGUCUCAGUGAGCUGGGGAUGGAAAGAUGAGGCCAGAAUGUGAGCUGGGCUAGGUUUGACUCAGACAUCCGUCGUCCCCUUAAGCUCAUCCGUGUCUGCACAGUGAACCUCGUGUCUACAAUGGCCAUGUGGCCGUCCUCUUAACAUAGUAAGUUACAACCUGUUAG
rnacentral:lncRNA from 1 species